CAAUAGCGUAUAUUUAAGUUGUUGCAGUUAAAAAGCUCGUAGUUGGAUUUCGGGUGGGACGCAGCGGUCUCGCAUUGCGUUUGUACUGCUGCAGCCCUCCUUCUUGCCGGGGGCGGCCUCUCGGACUUCACUGUCUGGGGGUCAGAAUCGGCGAUGUUACUUUGAGUAAAUUAGAGUGUUCAAAGCAAGCUUACGCUCUGAAUAUAAUAGCAUGGGAUAACACGACAGGACUCUGGCCUAUCGUGUUGGUCUAUAGGACCAGAGUAAUGAUUAAGAGGGACAGUCGGGGGCAUUCGUAUUCCGUUGUCAGAGGUGAAUUUCUUGGAUUUACGGAAGACGAACAUCUGCGAAAGCAUUUGCCAAGGAUGUUUUCAUUGA
rnacentral:rRNA from 1 species